ACGGAAGGCAGCGGUAGGGAAUAUUGCACAAUGGGGGAAACCCUGAUGCAGCAACGCCACGUGUGGGAAGAAGCAUUUCGGUGUGUAAACCGCUGUCGUGAGGGAAUAAGGCUUAUUUUCGGAUAAGUUGAAUGUACUUUGAAAGGAAGCACCGGCAAACUUCGUGCCAGCAGCCGCGGUAAUACGAGGGGUGCAAGCGUUGUUCGGAAGCACUGGGCGUAAAGGGAGCGCAGGCGGAGAUGCAAGCAGUCUGUACAAUACCGGGGCCCAACCCCGGACCUGCAGACUGGACUGUUUCUCUUGGAUAGCUCAGGGGCUGGCGGAAUGCCUGGUGUAGCGGUGGAAUGCGUAGAGAUCAGGAAGAACACCGAUGGCGAAGGCAGCCAGCUGGGGGCUUAUCGGCGCUCAUGCUCGAAAGUGCGGGUAGCAAACAGGAUUAGAUACCCUGGUA
rnacentral:rRNA from 1 species